UACAGAGGUCUCAAGCGUUGUUCGGAUUCAUUGGGCGUAAAGGGUGCGUAGGCGGCGCGGUAAGUCGGGUGUGAAAUCUCGGGGCUUAACUCCGAAACCGCAUUCGAUACUGCCGUGCUUGAGGACUGGAGAGGAGACUGGAAUUUGCGGUGUAGCGGUGAAAUGCGUAGAUAUCGUAAGGAAGACCAGUGGCGAAGGCGGGUCUCUGGACAGUUCCUGACGCUGAGGCACGAAGGUCAGGGGAGCAAACGGG
rnacentral:rRNA from 1 species